rnacentral:rRNA from 1 species
CCUACGGGAGGCAGCAGUGAGGAAUAUUGGUCAAUGGACGAGAGUCUGAACCAGCCAAGUCGCGUGAAGGAUGACUGCCCUCUGGGUUGUAAACUUCUUUUAUAAAGGAAUAAAACGCGGCACGUGUGCCUUAUUGCAUGUACUUUAUGAUUAAGGCUCGGCUAACUCCGUGCCAGCAGCCGCGGUAAUACGGAGGAUCCGAGCGUUAUCCGGAUUUAUUGGGUUUAAAGGGAGCGUAGAUGGGUUGUUAGGUCAGUUGUGAAAGUUUGCGGCUCAACCGUAAAAUUGCAAUUGAUACUGGCAGUCUUGAGUACAGUUGAGGUAGGCGGAAUUCGUGGUGUAGCGGUGAAAUGCUUAGAUAUCACGAAGAACCCCGAUUGCGAAGGCAGCUUACUAAACUGUGACUGACAUUGAUGCUCGAAAGUGUGGGUAUCAAACAGGAUUAGAUACCCCAGUAGUC